rnacentral:rRNA from 1 species
ACUCCUACGGGAGGCAGCAGUGGGGAAUAUUGCACAAUGGGCGCAAGCCUGAUGCAGCGACGCCGCGUGGGGGAUGAAGGCCUUCGGGUUGUAAACUCCUUUCGCUAGGGACGAAGCUUUUUUGUGACGGUACCUAGAUAAGAAGCACCGGCUAACUACGUGCCAGCAGCCGCGGUAAUACGUAGGGUGCGAGCGUUGUCCGGAAUUACUGGGCGUAAAGGGCUCGUAGGUGGUUUGUCGCGUCGUCUGUGAAAUUCUGGGGCUUAACUCCGGGCGUGCAGGCGAUACGGGCAUAACUUGAGUGCUGUAGGGGUAACUGGAAUUCCUGGUGUAGCGGUGAAAUGCGCAGAUAUCAGGAGGAACACCGAUGGCGAAGGCAGGUUACUGGGCAGUUACUGACGCUGAGGAGCGAAAGCAUGGGUAGCGAACAGGAUUAGAUACCCUAGUAGUCCCAUGA